rnacentral:rRNA from 1 species
UACGUAGGGGACAAGCGUUGUCCGGAAUGACUGGGCGUAAAGGGCGCGUAGGCGGUCUAUUAAGUCUGAUGUGAAAGGUACCGGCUCAACCGGUGAAGUGCAUUGGAAACUGGUAGACUUGAGUAUUGGAGAGGCAAGUGGAAUUCCUAGUGUAGCGGUGAAAUGCGUAGAUAUUAGGAGGAACACCAGUGGCGAAGGCGGCUUGCUGGACAAAUACUGACGCUGAGGUGCGAAAGCGUGGGGAGCGAACAGGAUUAGAUACC